UGGGGAAUUUUACGCAAUGGGGGAAACCCUGACGUAGCGACACCGCGUGAGCGAAGAAGCCUUUUGGGGUGUAAAGCUCUGUCAGCUGGAACGAACACAAUGACGGUACCAGCAGAGGAAGCAUCGGCUAACUACGUGCCAGCAGCCGCGGUAAGACGUAGGAUGCAAGCGUUGUCCGGAUUCAUUGGGCGUAAAGAGUUCGUAGGUGGUCUGUUAAGUUUGGUGUUAAAGAGCGGGGCCCAACCCCGAUAGUGCACUGAAUACUGGCAGACUUGAGUGCGGUAGAGGUAAGUGGAAUUCCAAGUGUAGCGGUGAAAUGCAUAGAUAUUUGGAAGAACACAGGUCCGUAAGCGACUUACUGGGCCGUAACUGACACUGAGGAACGAAAGCCGGGGUAGCGAAUG
rnacentral:rRNA from 1 species